rnacentral:rRNA from 1 species
GACGAACGCUGGCGGCGUGCUUAACACAUGCAAGUCGAACGGAAAGGCCCCUUUGGGGGUACUCGAGUGGCGAACGGGUGAGUAACACGUGAGAAACCUGCCCUUGACUUCGGGAUAACUUCAGGAAACUGGGGCUAAUACCGGAUAGGAAUCCUUGCUGCAUGGUGGGGGUUGGAAAGCUUCGGCGGUUUUGGAUGGACUCGCGGCUUAUCAGCUUGUUGGUGGGGUAGUGGCUUACCAAGGCUUUGACGGGUAGCCGGCCUGAGAGGGCGACCGGCCACAUUGGGACUGAGAUACGGCCCAGACUCCUACGGGAGGCAGCAGUGGGGAAUAUUGCACAAUGGGCGGAAGCCUGAUGCAGCAACGCCGCGUGCGGGAUGACGGCCUUCGGGUUGUAAACCGCGUUCAGCAGGGGCGAAGCUUGUGGUGACGGUACCUGCAGAAGAAGCACCGGCUAACUACGUG